ensembl:lncRNA
GUGAAUGAGGUGCAUCUUAUAUCAAUUUGAAAUGUAAAUAAAUGCAAUUAAUGAAAUAGUUACAGAAAGACCCACAUCUGUUCUUCUUCCUAGUGACCAUGGAUGAGGUAGUCCUAUAGUACUGGUGUGUGCAUGCUACUACUUUUUCCAGAGAUCAGCCACUUUUCUACACUGGCAGAGAAGUCAUAGUGACCUGUCAAGAAGUUUAAUCAGAAUGUGCCAGCAGUGCACUUCACCAAAACUGUGGUGCUGGAGACUGGUAUGCUCCUUAGCCCUAGAGCAGAUGGAUACACAUGGGGAAAAAGAGCCAUGUCCUGUCCCCAGCGGCGUGUUCCAACUCUGAAGCGAGAUGUCCACUCCUGCAAUAACAACUCUGUGCCAGCAGCAUAACUGCAUUUGAGGAAACAUCAGUGGCAGACCGAAGAAAAAAAUGCAGGAAGGUGGAGUGGAAAAAUUAUGGAAAUAUGUGGACAGUAUCCCAAAAUAUAUGAUAUCUGAAGGAACUGUGGAGAAUGCAGGUGUAACAGUGAAGUCACAAGACUCCACAUUAAGUAUUCUUUUGAGAAUUCACCAGGAGACAAUUUGUUUUAAAAGAGACCGAAAUCAAUGAGUUUCUUCAGUAACUUCUAGACGUAAAUGUAUCUCUUUGAUUAAGGAAAAAUCCGACUGGUCUCAGGACAUUGUUCUUUGUUUUUUAAUCCAAAAUCCACAACUCUUUGAUUCUGUGAAAAUAUAGGCUCAAAUUUCAAAGAAGUAACAAAGUGCAAGCUAAUAUUUCCAAAAGGACUUGGAGCUGCUGAUACAUGACACACCAGGAGAGUCCGUGACCUUUGGAAAUCAAUUACCUUUAGAAGGGAAUGACCAGAAUGACCUGAGGCAGAUGAAGAGGCAGUCAGUCCAGCUCACUUUUUCCUUCUGUGCAGUGUCAUCACAAAACUCUCCACUGAUUUUCAUCUGUUGUGACCACGCUGUUAAGAAAGGUAGGUGCGAGUCCUGCUUACUGUAAAAUGGUACAACUGAGAAGCCAAAGUUCCUGCCUCUUAACACAUAGAGUACAGGUAUAUGUCUAAAGUGCCAGAUUCUAAUGGAAGGUUUAAUAUUAAAAAUCCUCUGAAACGUAGAAUAAUAGAAUCACAGAAUUCCUCAGGUCGGAAAAGGCCUUAAAGAUCAUCAAGUCCAAUCACAACCUAACCAUACUACGCAACUCUAACAACCCUCCACUAAAUCAUGUCCCUGAGCACCACAUCCAAACGGUUUUUAAACACAUCCAGGGAUGGUGACUCAACCACCUUCCUGGGGAGCCCAUUCCAGUGCUUAGCAACCCUUUCUGUAAUGAAGUUUUUCCUGAUAUCCAACCUGAACUUACCCUGGCACAACUUGAGGCCAUUUCCCCUCAUCCUAUCACCAGUGAGAAGACACCAACCCUGCUCUGCUGUGAGCACCUUUCAGGUACUGGAAGAGAGCAAUAAGGUCUCCCCUCAGCCUCCUCUUCCCCAUACUAAACAGUCCCAGUUCCUUCCGUCUCUCUUCAUAGAGCAUAUUCUCCAAGCCCUUCAGAAGCC